UGUCUUUGUUGGGUCAUUGUAUGUUGUCACCCUGUGUAGCAGUGUGAGUUUCUUGUGUUGGCAGCCUCACUCGUUGUGUCUGCGUGUUUCCCUGCUCAUUUUGGUUUUUGGUUUUUGGUUUUCACCCUUUUGGAUUUCUGUUGGACAGCCUUUGUCUUUGGACUCAGUCAAUCAGCCACUCUGUUUGUAAGUGUGCUCGCUUUUUGUUUGUUAAAUAAAUCACAGACUGUGUGUUUAUGGCUUCAUGGAGAAGACCCUGUGCAGCAAGCCAAGGCUGCUGAAUCUCCCCUCCCUGGCUGAGCAGUUGGUCGUCAUCAGAUGGAUGAAGAGAGACCUGGAGCAGAUAAUGGACACUCCUGAGGGUUUACCACCUGGUGGCGCUAGAGCUGCUAGCCGCCAACCGGAUCCCCGGCCCGCUAGCACUGCUAGCCGCCAACCUGAUCCGCCAGUCUCCAUCUCGGCUAGCGCUGCUAGUCCUCAGCCUGUCCCCGGUGCUGCUAGAUCCAGUGCGUCUGUUCCCCAGCCUGCUAACCCCGAAAGGACUUGUUCCCGGCCUGCUAGCUGCUGGGUGGGAGGCCUGCUAGCACCUAGCCUGCUAAUCGCCCGCCUGAUUCUCUGCCGGCUAGCGCUGCUAGCUGCCCGCCUGGUCAUCUCCCUCCUGUGUUGGCUCCAUCAUCCGGACUGGUUGGGGACUCCUGGACAUCUAGCUCUCUGGGUUUUUUUUGAUGGACUUGGCGUUAGAACCAGAGAGCCCUAGGACUGCUAGUUCCCAACCAGUCAGCCAACCAGCUCUGAGUUGACCAGCUAGCCUAUGGCCCGAUAGCCUGGAGGCUAGGCUUCCCCCGGAGUUCUCCUUUAAAGGGAGUUGCCUGGUGGUCAUCGGAGGCGACCAGGUCACCAGCAGCGACCCAUCUGCAACCAACGUGAUCCGAGGCCCGCUAGCGCCGCUAGCUGCCUGCCUGAUCCCCGGCCCGCUAGCUGCCUGCCUGAUCCCCGGCCCGCUAGCUGCCUGCCUGAUCCCCGGCCCGCUAGCGCUGCUAGCAGCCUGCCUGAUCUCGAUCAGACUCCUGUUCACUCAUCGGUGGUCCAACCAACACCAGCUCCGUUGGUGGUCCAGCCGAUUCCUGUUCCUAGUGCUCCAUCAAUGGACCGACCCGCAGCAGCUGAAAUACCGUGUGCUCAGUUCGCCAUCUUGCCGGAAGUCGCACCUAUUACUUCCAGCGCCCCCCAUCGUCCUCGGAAUGCCCCUGUUGAGAAACACUAACAGGAUUUCUCCAGCUUUAACUCAUGAAGGGCAAAAACUUAAUAAUGUCUUGUUUUAUCAAACACCUAGUUAACAUUUAUUUGUGAUGAAAUUACAAGUCAUCGUCUCCUGACAAAUACAACAAGCUCUGAGGCAGCUGCCCUGAACUGCAGUCCAUGUAGGCUAUUUGAGCCAGAGGCCGACUUUGCAGGAGCUCCUGACACACAGGAAGUCAGCUGACUUCCUGUAACUGGAGAGAGAGAAGAAGCGACACUGAAAACAGGGAGGAAGCUGAAGCAGAAAGAGUUCAGUUAGAGUCCCAGAACUGAAGGCUGAGGCAGGACUGACUGAAGUCCAGAAGAUGAGGAGGACAGAGGAAGAGGAGGACGGAGCAGAGUCUUCAGUAUCCAGCUGUCUGUCUAUUAAGAGUGACUGGUCCAAAAACUGUCCUCCAGAGUUCAGUCCUGAACCUGAACCCUCAGACACAAAAGAGAGGAAGAGGAGUCCUGUUCCUGUGGAGGAGCAGCCGUCCUGCUGUGCUUUGUGUC